ACACCAGGGUGGGGUCACUUAGAAGGAAAGCAGCACCAGCACAUUAAAAAUAAUCCUGUAAAUCAUACCAUGCAGUGAAAUAUCCCAGUAUCUGGGAAGCAGAUAAAACCCAGUACACUCACUCCUCCUUCCAAGCUUCCUGCUGUGGUAACCUAUAAAUCACCAAGGUUUAUUUGCCCUAAUUCCCCUGUCUACGUGGUGACAUUCUUCAAUAAAGGCGAUCAUUUUACACUGUAAAUUAUUUGCCAUAUACUCUGAACUUUGCCUCCAAAAUCCCAAUCCAAAUUCACAGCCACAGGAUUGUAAUAUAUGAUGACAUAUCAUCAGCUCAUGAGGAUAACUCUGUUUUAUCCAUGCAUAAUCCCAAAUUGCUGUAUUUCUUCCUAACCCACAGUCAGACUAAGGCCUUUGGGGAACAAAGGAACAAAUGGAAAAUGAUUUAUAGGCGUAGGCUGUUUUCCUCUUUACCUCUCAGUUACUCUAGCUAACUUCUGUUCCCUAUGAGGAAAAUAGACACAUACAGGAAGGAAUACAGUGGUUUCAUUUGCAAAAAGAAAUUAACAGAGUAGAAAAUAAUAUAUAAAUAAGUCGUCUAGAUCUGGGAAGGUGGCACCUUGGCUGCAUCAUUUCUGAGCUGGGUGACUGAAAGCAUCUGCAGUUCCCUGAGACCAUCUGGGAGGUUCAUUCAGCAGCACAUGGAUCUGUGGCCACUUUUCCACAGUGUGUGUUUGAACUGCCUGUUGCUCAGCAGUUGAGUUGCAAGCCAGGUGAAAACUUUGAUAUUCUGUAAGAUAACAUUACAAGGACUAUGAGGCUGAGCCUAUCGCCAAGACAGGUUCAGUGGGUGGGGGAAGAGAAAUCUUACAUCUCCAACCAAUUUGAAGAGAUGGAGCUGGUUGUUGAGGACAAUUUCAUUAAUGAGGAAGGAGUGGGAGGAUGUCAUUAAUUUGGUUAUGGGAAGGGAAUGAACACAAGGCAGGGUUGCUGGCCUGCCUGAGGGAGGGACAGGAGUGGGGAAAGGAGCUGGAUGGGGCUCCCAGAUGGGCAUGUUGGCAGGCAGAAAGUGCACCAGGGAAACUGGCAGAGGAGCCCUGCAAGACACAUCAUGCAGGCUUUGAGAUAAGCUGCAAGAACAGAUAUACCUUCAAGCCAAAGAAGGGUAAGCAAGUGUUUUGGAAACCAAGGCAAGGACAUAUUGAAGAUUUAUGUACCAGAGUGAAGGCAGAAGGAACAAGUGUGUGUGAAAGCAGAGCGCUCAGGAAAACCCUUGACAAACAUCCUGGGAAAAAACAUGGCUCUGCUGAGUGACUUUUGCUACCAACUUCUACUAGGUGGGUGGCUUGCCAGCUUGUCCUACAGUUCCUGCUGCUAACUAGAGGGCACCCUGGGGGGCUAUUUUUAAAUAAAUCCCCAGCGGCAUACUUGCA
rnacentral:lncRNA from 1 species